UCCUCGUUGCUUAUGAAUACCGGCGGCGAGCCGGAGAUGGGGCGUCUCAUAACGCCGGACUCUCCGUCUGUUAUGAUGAUUGCUCUGUCCUGGGAGGCAUUCCCGACCGGCGUGUUGUCGACGGGAGGGUUAUCGCCUAUCCCCGAUCUAGGAUCGGGGGGUUGGUUCCCGCCGGGCGUUGUCUCGCCGUGAUUCGACAUCUUUCUCCUUGAUGGAAAAUCUUGAACUAGCCCCUCCUUCUAGCGCCAAUUUGUUAACGGAGAAAACUGGU
rnacentral:lncRNA from 1 species